GUGCUCGCUUCACAGCUCGUAUACUAAAAUUGGAAUGAUACAGAGAAGAUUAGCAUGGCCCCUGUGCAAGGAUGACAUGCAAAUUCGUAAAGCAUUGCAUAUUUUU
rnacentral:snRNA from 1 species